CUCCACCAUCUCGCCGAGUUCCAGGCAGCCGAGUCACUACCCCUCAACCUGGAGAAAACUGUUAAGCACCUCACCAUGGGGCAGGACCGCAACACUCUUCACCACCUCAACUCCCUGCACCUGCACCUGCAUUUAACAUACGCCCCAUGUGUAUUAUCAGUCAUGGUUAACAGAUUUAAUACAAUUUUAUACUAUCAUUUAAUAAAAAAAAAUUCCCCCUCUCGCACACCGCCCACCUCACUAUGGGCCAGGAACGGCAGUCCCUCCUCAACUCCCUCCACCCCCACACCAGCCCUCAACGUGCAGCGAACAGAGGAGCUUUGUGCUGUGAGGAAAAACAUGGUGACACGGUUUCAACCGGCGGUGGAUCGGGCAACAAGGAGAUGUGUUCCGCCUCCAUCCACACAAAUGGAGUAAUAGGAGAAAUAAGCAUUAAACAAUCUUUUUAUUGAACUUCUUGUCAUUCACCAGUUAUUCAUUUUCUGAUAUUUUAGCUGUGCAUAGCGCAGUAUUUCAUUGAAGUUGUAGCCUAUUAGAUAAAAUAUUUCAUGUCUGCACUGACCUAGGCCUAUAAAGCACUAAAUUAGGUUUUGACCACAAAAUGAAUGUAAAGUAGCCUAGGCAAUGUAGGCUACUUAACAAAAACAGAAUAGCUUAUAACCUGUAACUUUCCAUAAAUGUCCAUUUUAUAUU